ACACGUAGGGGGCAAGCGUUGUCCGGAAUUACUGGGCGUAAAGGGUGCGUAGGCGGCUUUUUAAGUCGGGUGUGAAAUAUCAGGGCUCAACCAUGGAAGUGCACUCGAAACUGGAAAGCUUGAGGUCAAGUAAGGGAGACGGAAUUGCCAGUGUAGGGGUGAAAUCCGUAGAUAUUGGCAAGAACGCCAGUGGUGAAGACGGUCUCCUGUACUGAUACUGACGCUGAGGCACGAAAGCUAGGGGAGCGAACGGGAUUAGAAACCCCAGUAGUCC
rnacentral:rRNA from 1 species